rnacentral:rRNA from 1 species
AAUAUUGGACAAUGGGCGAAAGCCUGAUCCAGCCAUGCCGCGUGUGUGAAGAAGGUCUUCGGAUUGUAAAGCACUUUAAGUGGGGAGGAAGGGCAGUAAGUUACGACCUUGCUGUUUUAACGUUACCUACAGAAUAAGCACCGGCUACCUUCGUUCCAGCAGCCGCGGUAAUACGAAGGGUCCAAUCGUUAAUCGGAAUUACUGGGAGUAAAGCGCGCGUAGGUGGUUUGUUAAGUUGGAAGUGAAAGCGCCAGGCUUAACCUGGGAAUUGCUUUCAAAACUGACGAGCUAGAGUACGGUAGAGGGUAGUGGAAUUUCCUGUGUAGCGGUGAAAUGCGUAGAUAUAGGAAGGAACAUCAGUGGCGAAGGCGACUACCUGGACUGAUACUGACACUGAGGUGCGAAAGCGUGGGGAGCAAACAGG